GUACGGGAGGCAGCAGUGGGGAAUAUUGCACAAUGGGCGCAAGCCUGAUGCAGCCAUGCCGCGUGUAUGAAGAAGGCCUUCGGGUUGUAAAGUACUUUCAGUCGUGAGGAAGGUGUUAAGGUUAAUAACCUUAGCAAUUGACGUUAGCGACAGAAGAAGCACCGGCUAACUCCGUGCCAGCAGCCGCGGUAAUACGGAGGGUGCGAGCGUUAAUCGGAAUUACUGGGCGUAAAGGGCACGCAGGCGGUUAAUUAAGUUGGAUGUGAAAUCCCCGGGCUUAACCUGGGAAUGGCAUUCAAGACUGGUUAGCUAGAGUCUUGUAGAGGGGGUAGAAUUCCAUGUGUAGCGGUGAAAUGCGUAGAGAUGUGGAGGAAUACCGGUGGCGAAGGCGGCCCCUGGACAAAGACUGACGCUCAUGUGCGAAAGCGUGGGGAGCAAACAGGGAUUAGAUACC
rnacentral:rRNA from 1 species